UUUCCGUAGGUGAACCUGCGGAAGGAUCAUUAUCGUACAAAAUGUGUCAGGCAUGCUCGGGCUGUUGCUGACUCAAAAAGUCGUGCACGCUGGAGGGUGUCCUCUCACAUAAUAAUCCAUCUCACCCUUUGUGCAUCACCGCGUGGGCACCCUUUGGGAUCGGACCGAUCUCGGAAGGGGGCCCGCGUUUUCACACAAACCCCCCCAUCUAAAAGUGUAGAAUGUCCUCAUUUAUGCAAUAAAUACAACUUUCAACAACGGAUCUCUUGGCUCUCGCAUCGAUGAAGAACCAGC
rnacentral:misc_RNA from 1 species